rnacentral:lncRNA from 1 species
GGCUCUUGUUCUCUGUGGCUGAGGUGCCAGGGAAGGCCGGUUCCGGGCUUCGAGGGAAAGCCUCCCAGGGGCUGUGAGGAUCGUGGACGUGGCCGUGUACUUCUCCCGGGAGGAGUGGGGGUGUCUGCGGCCCGCACGGAGGGUCCUGAACCUGCACGUGACAUAGGAAACCUACGGCCACCUGGGCGCGCUAGGUGAGGCCCAGCAGCCUGGCCAGGACUCUAAUAUGUGGGAAGCAGGGACUGAUGCGCCCAGAGGUGGUGGGGUUGGAAGUGUGGAGCACUGAGCAAGGGGCCUCAGCUGUCUUUUUGGUGUUCGGCCCAGCCCAGUAUUUCCUUUUCGGAGGAUUUUCAGGCCCCGGACCCGCCUUUAUCUCUUGGGUGGAAGUGAAAGGAUGAAAAUGCAACCCAACCCUCCCAGAACCCAGGAAGUUAAUAAAAAGCUCUAAAUGCCCCCGAAUUCCAGACCCUGUUUCCUGCCAGCAAAUAGGUAGAAGGUCACACUUCUUGCUGUUCCAGGGCCUGCUAUCCUGGCCUAAGUAAGAUAACAGGAAAUGAGUUGACUAAUCGCUUAUCUGGAUUCUGUAAAACUGACUAGCGCCAUAGAAGAAUUGAUUACACAUUGAAAGCCCUAGUGACUUAUCUCAACUGCAAUCUGUCACUCUGCCCAGGAGCCCACGCAAAUGAGGACCUCCGGAGCUGUUUUAAAAUGAUUGGUCCACGGAGCGCGGGCUCUCGAUGUUUUAAAAUGAUUGGUUUGCGAAGCGCGGGCUUUGACCUGGGAACCUCCAUAUGCCGAGGGAGCGGCCCAAGAAAUAGCAGCAACAACAACAACAACAACAACAACAGCAAAGAGGAAUGCUGCUUUUAUGUGGAUCAUUCUGAGCUAUCAGGGACUCUAUGAACAAGCUCAGAAAAAGGUUAGAAAAACGUCACAAAGAAAAGAGGCUGGCCAAGGAUGGUUUGAGGGAUGGUUCAACAAGUCCCCAUGGGUGACCACCCUGCUGUCUGCUCUGAUAGGACCCCUAGUGAUAACUGCUCCUGUUGCUUACAGUUGGGCCUUGCUUAAUUAAUCAGUUUGUUGCCUUUGUCAGAGAACGAGUGAGUGCAGUUCAGAUCAUGGUACUUAGACAGCAGUACCAAGGCCUUCCGAGCCAAGGAGAAACUGACCUUUAGCCUUCCCAGUUCUAAGAUUAGAACUAUUAACAAGAGAAGAAGUGGGGAAUGAAAGGAUGAAAAUGCAACCUAACCCUCCCAGAACCCAGGAAGUUAAUAAAAAGCUCUAAAUGCCCCCGAAUUCCAGACCCUGUUCCCUGCCAGCAAAUAGGUAGAAGGUCACACUUCUUGCUGUUCCAGGGCCUGCCUUCUGUAUGAAACUAGAUGAAAGAACGUAAAAUAGGCCCUGGAAUGCGUGACCCUGGCCUAAGUAAGACAACAGGAAAUGAGUUGACUAAUCGCUUAUCUGGAUUCUGUAAAACUGACUGGCACCAUAGCAUCUCAACUGCAAUCUGUCACCCUGCCCAGGAGCCCGCGCAAAUGCGGACCUCCGGCGCUGUUUUAAAAUGAUUGGUUUGCGAAGCACGGGCUUUGCUGUGAACCCCAUAAAAUCUGUCCCGAUUCCGCACUCGGGGCCGCAGUCCUCUACCCCUGCGUGGCAUACGACUGUGGGCCCCAGCGCGCUUGGAAUAAAAAUCCUCUUGCUGUUUGCA